AGGUGGAGUGGCUGGAGGUGCUCGGGGCUUUGAAGGGAGAGUUCAGGGAGAAGUCGUGACUGAGAGGUGAAGAGACAAGACAUGCCUGCUGUCUGCUCCAGGGCUCUCUGGACCCCUAUUCCUGGGCCCUGAGCUCCAAGCAAGACCUGAGACACUGUGCUCUUCAGGCAGCCUUCUCGGACCAGACCCGCUGUCACUGGUCCCCUGGAAUGCACGAGCGGCGGCUGGAACAUGGUGGGUGCUUCAUGAAUGGGACAGCCCAGUCCUCGGCUUCUCCACGGGUCCCAGUGGAGAUCUGAUUUGCCCCCUCACUGCAGGUGGACCUCAAGAUCUGGACGGAUGCUGCACCUGAAGCACUAUGGUGAUUCCUAGGACUUGAUUGGAGUUGCAUUGAAUCUACAGAUUAACUUUGAGGAGAACUAACAUCCUUAUAAUUUUGGAGAGAAUUGACAUCUUUAUAAUUUUGUGUAUUCCAAACCAUAAAUAGGAUGUCUCUCUCCAUUUAUUUAACUCACUGAGAAAGGCAACAUAAUACAAGAUUAAGAGUGCGGAUUCUAUAGCCAAACUGCCUGAGUUCAAAUCCCAGCUCUGUCAGUAGAUCUGUAACUUUGUGAGAGUUUCUGGUUCCCUUGCAUGUAGAUGCAAUGAUUAUAAUAACAUAGGAGUGGUUGUGAGGAUUUAGUAGGUUAAUAAUUGUAAAGCAGGAGAACC
rnacentral:lncRNA from 1 species